CUUCUCCAGCUGAGGGCUCUCCUGCCAAGAAGAGCAGGAAGCCAGGCCCCACUGCCUCACCCCGGAAUGGCUGGCAUGCAUGCUGCACCUGGAUCUUUAUAGAGGGCAGGGGGACAGAGGGGAAGAGCUGCAUCUCAGGUGGAAGGCUGGGCCAGAGCACAAAGGAACAGGCCUCUGAGCCCAGCGGUGGGGCCCUGCCUUCCAGAAGACUGCCUGCCCUCCUACCCUCCUCCCUCGUCCCCUCAUUCAGCCUCUCCCGCCUUCCUGCCACUGAAGACCUGGAGAUCCUGGGACAGUCCUCAUUUUGGUGUUGCCCCUAAAGCCAUUAUGAGUCCUGGAAGCAUCACUGCUUCAAGGGCCCAAGCACCAUCUCAAAAACAGCAUCUCACUUGAGUGGCAGAAGCCCUUGCUCCUGAGUCUCAGCGUGGGUUUAGAAAAGGUGAACUCAGGUCCUGUGCCUUGCAAAGACUCCAGCCCAUUCACUGGAGCUCAGCCUGGAAGCGCUCAAGUCCAUAGUGCCAAGUUCCCAGCCGGAACAGGCUUUGCUCUGAGCAAAGAGCUCCCCUGCCCGCUGCCCGGGUAUUCUCAAGCAUUUGACCGGUGCGUUCUGUUAGAUGGGUACAGUCUUCUGUGCUGGGGUAGAGGGAUGCACUUCUUUUGCUUGUGGGAGGGACUUUGUGUGACAAGCCCCCACCUCUGCGUCAUUGGAGAAGUUUAUUUUCAUCCUGCCAUAGCUGGCCUUUCUCCCAGUAAAAAGUUGGGGCUCCUUACCUGGUGGUGGAUGGCAGAGAAAAGAAAGAAAGAAGGCCUGGACUCGGCCUUGGGGCAUCUCUGCCCAGUAAUCUCUUUUGCUUUGGGGACACCACAAGUAUUUCUCUCAGGGCUCUGGAAAGAAUUGGCCUCAGAGACACCUGUCAAAAUCUUUUGGGUCAAUAUGAUGUGUAUAAAUGGAUGGAGUUUGCCGGGAGGGGGUUAAGAGGGAGGGAGGGUAAGAAAAGCACCAACGAUGACCAGCUUUAAACCCCAAGAGACACAGGUUCAGACUUGUGCAGGCCCGCAAGCUAGUGAUGGGGCAGCCAAAAUGGGGGCCACCAUGGCCAGGUCCCAAAGUCAAGGCUCUUCGGGGAGAGGAGUAGGUAUGGGUGGAGGGGACAGAUGACCACCUCUCUGCGCCCCAAGGCCUAGUUCCGGUCACCCUCCGCCUUCCUCCCGGGCUGGCUGACUCCACUGGCUAUCAGACGACUGCAGCACAGACAAUGGCGCUCUGUCCCGGGCGCUCCGGGACAACAGCUCAUCCCUAUGCAGUGGCCGCCUCCCCCACCCAGGCCCGGCCGCCAGC
rnacentral:lncRNA from 1 species